rnacentral:rRNA from 1 species
CGGCGGACGGGUGAGUAACGCGUGGGUAACCUGCCUCAUACAGGGGGAUAACAGUUGAAAACGGCUGCUAAUACCGCAUAAGCGCACAGUACCGCAUGGUACCGUGUGAAAAACUCCGGUGGUAUGAGAUGGACCCGCGUCUGAUUAGCUAGUUGGUGGGGUAACGGCCUACCAAGGCGACGAUCAGUAGCCGACCUGAGAGGGUGACCGGCCACAUUGGGACUGAGACACGGCCCAA